GGACUGCCCUGGGCUAGACUGGGCUCCAUAUCCUGGCCAUAGACCUCCUUGGAAGGAUGCUGGUGCUGGACAGUGACCAGAGGGUCAGUGCGGCUGAGGCACUGGCCCACGCCUACUUCAGCCAGUACCACGACCCCGAGGAUGAGCCAGAGGCCGAGCCAUAUGAUGAGAGCGUUGAGGCCAAGGAGCGCACGCUGGAGGAGUGGAAGGG
rnacentral:lncRNA from 1 species